CAGCAGCCGCGGGAAUACGAAGGGUGCAAGCGUUACUCGGAAUUACUUGGCGUAAAGCGUGCGUAGGUGGUGGUUUAAGUCCGUUGUGAAAGCCCUGGGCUCAACCUGGGAAUUGCAGUGGAUACUGGGUCACUAGAGUGUGGUAGAGGAUAGUGGAAUUUCCGGUGUAGCAGUGAAAUGCGUAGAGAUCGGAAGGAACAUCUGUGGCGAAGGCGACUAUCUGGGCCAACACUGACACUGAGGCACGAAAGCGUGGGGAGCAAACAGGAUUAGAUACCCCUGUAGUCCCUGUCUCUUAUAC
rnacentral:rRNA from 1 species